GACAGAGGGUGCAAACGUUGUUCGGAAUUACUGGGCGUAAAGGGCUCGUAGGCGGCCAACUAAGUCAGACGUGAAAUCCCUCGGCUUAACCGGGGAACUGCGUCUGAUACUGGAUGGCUUGAGUUUGGGAGAGGGAUGCGGAAUUCCAGGUGUAGCGGUGAAAUGCGUAGAUAUCUGGAGGAACACCGGUGGCGAAGGCGGCAUCCUGGACCGGCAUUGACGCUGAGGCGCGAAAGCCAGGGGAGCAAACGGG
rnacentral:rRNA from 1 species